rnacentral:lncRNA from 1 species
ACAUGUCCUUAACCUUGGCACAACAAAUCUCUAAAUCGAUUGAGACCUGUCUCAGAUACUUCUUGGUUUACAAGAUGGAGGCUGAAAUUAAAGAGAAAGAUCCUCACUCAACUCACAGAGGAGCAGAAUGGGAAGAGGACUUAGUGAGAAUUCCCUGAACACAGGAGAAAACCGAAGCCCAGAGAGUGGAUGGCCAAGUCCAAGGUCACACAGCCAAGUGCAUCCGAGCAGCGCAGGAUCCAGGUUUCCUGCCCCAGUGCUCUUUCUGCAGCCCAUGCCACCUGUUUUCAUGCUAUCUCAGUUCACCUUCCAGCUACACACCUGCAAUCAGAAACAGAAAGUCUGAGAGUGUGUGUGGAGCCAAAGAGGGGACAGCAGUGGUGAGGCCAGUUUCAUGUCUUGUGAUUUAUUUUCUCCCUUUCUUUUUGGACUUUAAUCUUAAGUGGACAGCAAUUUGGAACAGUGUCAGCACCUUGUUGGAUUGUGCUGUUUGGGAGAGGUGACACAGAGUAUUUUAAAAGAGCAGGUUAAGAACUUUUCACAAGGAAUCAAUUGAGAGAAAAUAAAAUAGAAACAGACUGUCCCACAUUUGGGCUGAGCACCAAACACAUUUUUUUUUUUUUUUUUGAGACUGAGUCUUGCUCUGUCACUCAGGCUGGAAUGCAGUGGCGCGAUCUCGGCUCACUGCAGCCUUCACCUCCCGGGUUCAAGUGAUUCUUCUGCCUCAGCCUCCCAAGUAGCUGGGAUUACAGGUGCCCACCACCAUGCCAGGCUAAUUUUUGUAUUUUUAGUAGAGACGAGGUUUCACCAUGUUGGCCAGGCUGGUCUUGAACUCCUGACCAAGUGAUCCACCUGCUUCGGCCUCCCAAAGUGCUGGGAUUACAGGCACGAGCCACCGCACCUGGCCUCAAACAAGCUUUUUAAUUGCAUUCAGAAGUGCACCAACUAGGCACAGACCUCUGGCAUGGAGACAGAAUGGGAGGUUCUUGGUGUCUGGCCUGGUCUUGCAGAAAUCAGGGAGUUGUGGGGACCAGGCAGCCACUGUGCAUCAGAUAGGAGUUUCAGCAGCAGGCAACAGAAAGCCUGCCAAUGUAGCUGAAAUAAGAAGGGCUUAUUUUUAUCCCUGAACAGAAGCUUCCAGCACUGGUUCAUCAGAUCAGGGCACUGAGCUGGCAUCCCCAUUUAUACAGUUUUCCUUUCCUUCACCUUUGUAAGAUGCCUGGCACAGCUCUGAGCAUCAAAUAUCUGUGCCAUGUGGGAGCACACGAGGGGACAAGUGGGGAAUAGGGUCUCCUCUGUCCUCUGUCCCCAGGCUGGCUUCUCUCGUGGUAGAAGGACCCCCACAGCACCAGGCCUCAUAACUACCCUGCUGGUAAACUGCAGGUGCUGUCACGGCUUCCUGCCUUCGUAUAUGAAAUGUUCCUUGGCAGCUGGACUGCUGUUUGUUUACCGCACGCACAGCUCUGCUGCCUCUUGGUUACACCAGUGAGCUAUUGCUCCAUGACAAGCCACACCGAAAUGUAGCAAGCACUUAUUGUUGCCCACAUGUGUCAAGUCAGUUGAGUGUUUCUGCCAACCGGGGCCUGGCUUGGCCCACCUUGGCUGAGCUUGCUCUGGUGCUAGGGUCAGCUAGACAGGUCGGCAGGAGACCAGCUGCUCUAGAAGAGCCUGGACAGGAUGAAUUGGUUCUCCUUCCACGUGCAUCUUGCAUCCCUCCAGCCAAGGAUUUGAACCCAGGUCUCGUCUGACUCCAAAUGCACCAAGAGGAUGGAGCCCAGAGUGACACAGAGGAAGAGGCCCCUGGAUGGAUGCAUGGGGAAGAUCACGGGAAUUACAAGUGACAUCCUGAAGUAUGAUCACAAAUGUUUCAAAUUAAGCCUUCCUGCUAAGUUUCCAGAGGUGUGUGGCUCGGACGAAGUGUUUCCAGACCCUGAUCUACUGCAUGUCCUGCCUGUUGCUGGUUCUUUGCAGCAGUCCAUUGACCAAUGCUGUCUACAGCUUGAGAGCCUCUGCAGGCCAGGGCUGCUCUGUGCACAUCCUACGUUACUAUUCAAACUGCACAGCAGCAUGAAAAACAGGCCCUUCUUUUCUCUCAUUUACACAUAUGUGAAGAAGACACAGCAAGUGAGAAAACGUGACCGAAAGCCACGCGGACAGGUGGCCGCAGGGCCAAACCCAACUUCCGUGAUGUGAUCUGGCUACAGUUUGGAGCCCACAUAUUUCAAUAGUUAUCCCCAGGCCUGGCACGUCAAAGAGGCUCCAGAAAUGUUUGCUGAGUUAGAAGCAAGGCACAAGUCAUACCUACAUUCAAGGAGAGGGGACCAUGCAAAGGAUAAACUGCAGAGAGACAACAGAUUUACAUCCCAGACACAUUCACACUGGGCCAAGAGCAGCUGCCAUUGCAGAUUCGAGUCACGUCCUUUUUUCCUUCCUUCUCCUUCUUGGAGUUACAACAGAAGCUGGGGAGGUGAGAGUGCAGAAAGGACGUGGAUGAAGCAGAGAGGCACGUGCCUGUCUCAUUCGCCUCUGGAUCUGCUGCAUCCAGGACUGUGCCAGCACAAAGUGGGAGCCCGAUAAAUAUUUAUUGAAGAAAUGAAAGGUGACAAAAGGCAGAAGGAGGGAGACCCCAAAAAGAGUUACACUGGAAGAAGAGCCCCUCCUUCCUUCAAGCCAAGUCAUCCCCUUGGGCUCUCACCACUUCAGUUUAUACCUUGCCUGUAGUCCAGUCUCUCCAGCAUCAAUUCCAUCAGCACAAAGACAUAAUUUAAUUCCUUCUACCUUAAAAAAAAAAAAAAAAAAAAAACAGCUCUCCCUCUCUUAGGGUGAGAUGAAGUGGUUGGCAACAGGCCAAUGCUACUUUCAGAGGCGUUUGAAUCAGAGUGACUCCAUUUUGAAUAGGGGUUGAGUAAAAUAAGGCUGAGACCUACUGGGCUGCAUUCCCAUGAGCUUAGGCAUUCUAAGUCACAGGAUGAGACAGGAGGUCAGCACAAGAUACACGUCACAAAGACCUUGCUGAUAAAACAGAUUGUGAUAAGAAAAGCCAGUCAAAACCCACCAAAACCAAGAUGGCGACAAAAGUGAUCUCUGGUUGUCCUCACUGCUGAUUAUUCACUAAUUAUAAAAUUAACAUGAUAAAAGACACUCCCACCAGCACCGUGACAGUUUACAAAUGACAUGGACACAUCAGGAAGUUACCCUAUAUGUCUAAAAGGGGAGGAGCCCUCCAUUCCAAUUGUCCACCCCUUUCCUGGAAAACUCAUGAAUAAUCCACCCCUUGUUUAGCAUAUAAUCAAGAAAUAACCAUGAAAAUAGCCAACCAGCAGCCCUCAGGGCUGCUUUGCCUAUGGAGUAGCCAUUCUAUAUUCCUUUACUUUCUUAAUAAACUUGCUUUCACUUUA